AUUUUGUCAAUAUCCCUGAGGCACAGGUGGUUUCAGAGUUGGAUGACCCUUGCACAUUAUGUGUGUUCCAGGCUCCCUCACUGAGGAGCCUGGUGGAGACUCUGGAGACAGCCUUAGUCUCUGACAGCCUCUCUUCCGGGUCUACCAUCUCCAAUUUCUCCACCCAACAGGAGACAGACACAGUGUUGGGAAGCCAGGUCAUUGUCACAGGUGCUGAAAUGGAGGACCAAGGCCACCAUGUCCCAGCCCUGUCAGAAAACCCGGAGCUCAUGGAAGAAGAGGCCGAAGCUGCAGGGCCACCUCUGGUGCUUGGGGACGCUCCAGCUCAAAUUCCACCACCUCCACCACCUGAGAUCGAGCUGGAGCUGGAAGGACCUGUAAUGGCAGAUCCUGACCAAGAACUCCUGCUGGACCCUCAGGCAGUGCCUCUUACUGAGACCAACCCAGAGCCUCCAUUCCUUGCCCCUAAUUUCCUUUUUUUCGUUUUGUUUAUUUUAAUGUUUUAUAUUUUAUGUACAGUUUGCUUGCUUUAAAAUCAAACAUUAUACUUGUUUAUGAAAAUAUACAGGUUAUUGGCAUUAAGUGCAUUCUCUAAACUGUUCACUAGUCACCACUAUGUCAUUCCACUGGCCCUUUGGGGAGCAUUUCAGAUUCAAAUU
rnacentral:lncRNA from 1 species